UGGGGAAUAUUGCGCAAUGGGGGACNCNCUGACGCAGCAACGCCGCGUGAAGGACGACGGUUUUCGGAUUGUAAACUUCAACAAGCAGGGAAGAAUAAUGACGGUACCUGACUGGAAGCCACGGCUAACUACGUGCCAGCAGCCGCGGUAAUACGUAGGUGGCAAGCGUUGUCCGGAUUUACUGGGUGUAAAGGGCGUGUAGGCGGGUGCUUAAGUCAGUGGUGAAAUACCGAAGCUCAACUUCGGGACUGCCAUUGAAACUGGGCAUCUUGAGUGCAGGAGAGGAAAGUGGAAUUCCUAGUGUAGCGGUGAAAUGCGUAGAGAUUAGGAGGAACACCAGUGGCGAAGGCGACUUUCUGGACUGUAACUGACGCUGAGGCGCGAAAGUGUGGGGAGCAAACAGGAUUAGAUACCCUGGUAGUCCACACUGUAAACGAUGGAUACUAGGUGUCGGGGGUAUCGAGCCCCUCGGUGCCGGAGUUAACACAAUAAGUAUCCCACCUGGGGAGUACGAUCGCAAGAUUG
rnacentral:rRNA from 1 species